AACGCACGAGACCUGCGGACCUGCGGAGGGAUCAUUACAGUAUAUUGAAUUCUUAUUCAUAUCAACCCACACUGUGUACCUUUUAUUUGUUGCUUCCAUGGGACAUGGCUCUGCCACGUCGGCCUCUGGGCUGAUGAGUUCCCAUGGAAGGAAACCCAUAACUCUUUUUAUUUUUGACAUCUGUCUGAAUAGUUUUUAUAAACGUUAAAACUUUCAACAACGGAUCUCUAGAUCGGAAGA
rnacentral:misc_RNA from 1 species